rnacentral:rRNA from 1 species
CCUAACACAUGCAAGUCGAACGGUAACAGGAAGAAGCUUGCUUCUUUGCUGACGAGUGGCGGACGGGUGAGUAAUGUCUGGGAAACUGCCUGAUGGAGGGGGAUAACUACUGGAAACGGUAGCUAAUACCGCAUAACGUCGCAAGACCAAAGAGGGGGACCUUCGGGCCUCUUGCCAUCGGAUGUGCCCAGAUGGGAUUAGCUAGUAGGUGGGGUAACGGCUCACCUAGGCGACGAUCCCUAGCUGGUCUGAGAGGAUGACCAGCCACACUGGAACUGAGACACGGUCCAGACUCCUACGGGAGGCAGCAGUGGGGAAUAUUGCACAAUGGGCGCAAGCCUGAUGCAGCCAUGCCGCGUGUAUGAAGAAGGCCUUCGGGUUGUAA